rnacentral:rRNA from 1 species
ACUAUGAUCAAUAGCUGAUUUGAGAGGAUGAUCAGCCACAUUGGGACUGAGACACGGCCCAAACUCCUACGGGAGGCAGCAGUGGGGAAUCUUGCACAAUGGAGGAAACUCUGAUGCAGCGAUGCCGCGUGAGUGAAGAAGGCCUUUGGGUUGUAAAGCUCUUUCGUCGGGGAAGAAAAUGACUGUACCCGAAUAAGAAGGUCCGGCUAACUUCGUGCCAGCAGCCGCGGUAAUACGAAGGGACCUAGCGUAGUUCGGAAUUACUGGGCUUAAAGAGUUCGUAGGUGGUUGAAAAAGUUGGUGGUGAAAUCCCAGAGCUUAACUCUGGAACUGCCAUCAAAACUUUUCAGCUAGAGUAUGAUAGAGGAAAGCAGAAUUUCUAGUGUAGAGGUGAAAUUCGUAGAUAUUAGAAAGAAUACCAACUGCGAAGGCAGCUUUCUGGAUCAUUACUGACACUGAGGAACGAAAGCAUGGGUAGCGAAGAGGAUUAGAUACCCUCGUAGUCCAUGCCGUAAACGAUGUGUGUUAGACGUUGGAAAUUUAUUUUCAGUGUCGCAGGGAAACCGAUAAACACACCGCCUGGGGAGUACGACCGCAAGGUUAAAACUCAAAUGAAUUGACGGGGACCCGCACAAGUAGUGGAGCAUGUGGUUUAAUUCGAAGAUACGCGCAGAACCUUACCAACACUUGACAUGUUCGUCGCGACUUUAAGAGAUUAAAGUUUUCGGUUCGGCCGGACGAAACACAGGUGCUGCAUGGCUGUCGUCAGCUCGUGUCGUGAGAUGUUGGGUUAAGUCCCGCAACGAGCGCAACCCUCACUUUUAGUUGCCAUCAUUAAGUUGGGCACUCUGAAAGAACUGCCAGUGAUAAGCUGGAGGAAGGUGGGGGAUGACGUCAAGUCCUCAUGGCCCUUACGUGUUGGGCUACACACGUGCUACAAUGGUAUCUACACAGGAAGCAAAACUGCGAAGUAAGCAAAUCCCUAAAAGAU